AUUCCGGUUGAUCCUGCCGGAGGCCAUUGCUAUUGGGAUCCGAUUUAGCCAUGCUAGUUGUACGAGUUCAGACUCGUGGCGAAUAGCUCAGUAACACGUGGCCAAACUACCCUUCGGACCACAAUACCCUCGGGAAACUGAGGCUAAUAGUGGAUCACACACUCACACUGGAAUGUCGAGUGUGUCAAACGCUCCGGCGCCGAAGGAUGUGGCUGCGGCCGAUUAGGUAGACGGUGGGGUAACGGCCCACCGUGCCAAUAAUCGGUACGGGUCAUGAGAGUGAGAACCCGGAGACGGAAUCUGAGACAAGAUUCCGGGCCCUACGGGGCGCAGCAGGCGCGAAACCUUUACACUGCACGCCAGUGCGAUAAGGGGAUCCCAAGUGCGCAGGCAUAGAGCCUGCGCUUUUGUCCACCCUAGGGAGGUGGACGAAUAAGGGCUGGGCAAGACCGGUGCCAGCCGCCGCGGUAAUACCGGCAGCCCGAGUGAUGGCCGAUCUUAUUGGGCCUAAAGCGUCCGUAGCUGGCCGCGCAAGUCCAUCGGG
rnacentral:rRNA from 1 species